CCUACGGGUGGCAGCAGUGAGGAAUAUUGCUCAAUGGACGAGACUCUGAACCAGCCACGCCGCGUGAGUGAUGACUGCUCUCUGUGUUGUAACCUCCAUUAGUAGGGAAGUAAAUCACGGUACCUGAUUAUGUUUCCCCGGCUAACUACGGUCCAGCAGCCGCGGUAAUACGUAGGCGGCAAGCGUUAUCCGGAUUUACUGGGUGUAAAGGGAGCGUAUACGGCAGCGCAAGUCUGAAGUGAAAUGCCGCGGCUUAACCCCGGAACUGCUAUGGAAACUGUGCAGCUAGAGUACAGGAGAGGUAAGUGGAAUUCGUAGUGUAGCGGUGAAAUGCUUAGAUAUUACGAGGAACCCCAGUGGCGAAGGCGGCUUACUAAACUGUAACUGACAUUGAGGCUCGAAAGCGUGGGGAGCAAACAGGAUUAGAUACCCUAGUAGUC
rnacentral:rRNA from 1 species